GAGAUCUUCAGGCAAGGCUUAGUCACCGAGCCAGCAUGUCUGUGCAAACCCCUUCUCCCUGCAGGAGCUCGCCACAGCGUCACAGCUGCUCACCUACUCGGGCUUUCAAGUGUGGAAAAUCGGUACUUUUUGUGGUAUGAGCCUGCUUCCAUCCACACCGGCGUGCCAAGCCUGCCCAAUGAUGGCAAGCCCGCAGCAGAGAUGAAAGCCCAGAAGGAAAUGGAAAGAGUCCCAAAGGGAAACAGACAGCUCCUAACAUGCUGGGAUGGUAUUCUGUGCCCACACUUGGACUGCUGAGAAAGAAUAAUCUAGCAAAGAGACACCUUGUAUAAGUGAUCCAUUGACGGUCACGGGGGAUUAAUGAGCACGUAAAAAAUAAAGCAAAAUAGUUUAA